rnacentral:rRNA from 1 species
GACAGAGGUCCCAAGCGUUAUGCGGAAUCACUGGGCUUAAAGCGUGUGUAGGCGGAUUUGUAAGUACCUUGUGAAAUCCCACGGCUCAACCGUGGAACUGCUUGGUAUACUGCUUAUCUUGGGCCAUCUAGGGGCGAGCGGAACAAACGGUGGAGCGGUGAAAUGCGUAGAUAUCGUGUGGAACGCCAAUGGUGAAAACAGCUCGCUGGGGAUGUGCCGACGCUGAGAUACGAAAGCCAGGGGAGCGAACGGG